rnacentral:rRNA from 1 species
AGUUCGGAUUGCAGUCUGCAACUCGACUGCAUGAAGCCGGAAUCGCUAGUAAUCGCGGAUCAGAAUGCCGCGGUGAAUACGUUCCCGGGUCUUGUACACACCGCCCGUCACACCAUGGGAGUCGGAAAUGCCCGAAGCCGGUGGCCUAACCGAUAAGGGAGGAGCCGUCGAAGGCAGGUCUGAUGACUGGGGGUGAAGUCGUAACAAGGUAAC